UGGGGAUCAAAGGCAUCAGAUCUUCGUAGUCUUCUAUACUAUGCGACUAGGGAUGGAAUGAGACAUCACAUUCAGUACCUAUCGGAGAAUCAACGUCUGGUCUGGGGGGAAGUUAGGUCGCAAGACUGAACUAAAGAAAUGACGAGGGCACAACAGAGUGAGCGUGCGCUUAAUGUGACUCAACACGGCGCACCUCCCAAGUCCAGCAUAGUGUAAGGAUUGACAGAUUGAUAGCUCUUCUUGAUCUAUGGUGUGUGCUGCCGUCUAGUUGGUGGAUUGCGCGUCUGUUAUCCGAUAACGAACGAGACUUAACAUGCUAACUAGAUAUUUUCAUUUUAUGAAUAUAUCUUCUUAGAGGGACUAUAUGCUUUAAGUAUAUGGAAGUUGAGGCAAAAGGGGAGGGUGAAGAGCCAUUAUAUGUCCUGGACUGCACGCGUGCUACACUGAUAUAUACAACAAGUGCCUAGCUAGAUAUAGUAUGGCAAUCUCGAAUAUAUAUCGUGAUGGGGAUAGAUCUUUGCAAUUAUAGAUCUUGAACGAGGAAAUACCUAGUAAGUGCAAGUCAUCAUCUGCAUUGAUUAUGUCCCUCCCCCUUUGUACACGCCGACGUGGCGCUCCUACCGAUACCGGGUGAUCCGGUGAACCUGUGGACCCUUGGGAAAAAUAAGAAAUCACAUCACCAGCAGAAUCGACAAGGACGACGCCGC
rnacentral:rRNA from 1 species